UUUUUAUUUAUCCUUUCAGUCAAUAUAAAAUAAUAUUCAAUAUAUAAUAUCGUCUAUAAUUUUCAAUUCCCCUCCCAGAAAAAAAUCCUAGCCAUGCCCUUAUUAUGAGUUUUUGUACAAAUUGUUCAUAUUCCUAUUCAUCUAAUUUUUUCAUGAAAUUUUGUAUGUUGAUUUUGGUUUCACAAUAGGAACUUUAAUCAGUUUUCUGAAGUCAACACUUUCUCUAGUGUGAAAUGCUAAUGCUGACAUUUAUUGAUUUUUUGAAAAAAAUUUCUUUAGGAGAUAAAUAAGUACGUAAAAAUUAUAAAUGCAUGCCGUAAAGUUUUCCAAAAAAAUUUUGCAUGGUUUUUAAAUUUCAGUUUGAUCGUAUGGAUAUUUUCACAUUUAUUGAGAAAACAAAAUUUUAAGGUGUAUAAAUCCUGGGGUUGUCCCAUUGAAACGAACUACAGAAAAAAUUGAUUUUGAGCAUUGAUUUUUCAUCAGUGUGUCGAACCAGUCACACAGUCAAUUGGAAAAUAAAAAUAGUUGAACAUGCCAAAAAAAUUUAAAUCCCUUGAAGGUAACCGUAAUAAAAUUUCUAACCAAUGAAAUUGGAGCAGUAUAAGGAACCCUAACAUUUAGAAUCCAAGUGAGCUGAACAUAUAUUUCUUUAAUUGCAGUACCUUCCUUGGGUUAAACCCAAGAUAUACUUACUAUUCAAGAAUUUUAAAAUUCAUAGAUGGUGAAACCUGCGACGUAAUAUACUAUUGAAGUGCCUGUAAUAAAUAUAUGUAAUCCCUUUUUUGAAACUUUUGUUCAAUUUAUGUUCCCCUUUUGUUCAAUUUCUGAAAAACACUUCGUCUAUAUACCACACCUUCCUUGAUUUAUGGAGCUCUGAAAUGGAAAAAACAAAUUUAAAAACCUACAAAGACAAAUUGUAAAAGGUUUUUCUUUUUCGAAAUAACGAUUCCAAAAUGAAACAUUUUUCUUGGAAAGUGUCAUAAGUUUUUCUUAGGUACAACUUCCCAAUUCAUUCUCUAAAAAGUUUUCAAUUUUUUUAAGGAAUCGGCAAGAUUUCUGGCAAAGGUUUGAAUUUCUAUAGUUUAUAGUAUAGUAUAGGCCUUAGAAACUGUAUCCGUUGCUCAAAAUUCAAAUUCUGGAAGUCAGCAAUAGAAACAUCAAUUCUAGUGAAGUUCUUUAAAAUGCACGAAUUUUAAUUUUAUACGUAUUAAUUUUAGUCUGAACUUUUGAAAUCUCUUUUUUGGUAGUGCAUAAUCUUGAAAUUGAAUAGUAGCAAUGUGAUGAAUAUCAGUAAUUACAAAAAUUUCUUAACUCAAGAAUUGGAUUCGUGUCUUGUAAAGCGUAAAAAUAAAGGAAAAAAAAAUUGUUAAAAACCAAGGCUCGAAUACAUUAAAAACAUUGAAAAAAGCAUAUACAGCGUGCCAAAAAAGUAACCCGUCAUAAUUCUUGUAAGAAGAAUUAUUGCGGAAAAUCCUCGUAUCCGUCGAUUUUUAAUUUCAAAAUCAAUUUAUCGUAUGCUAUUUUGAAUUUGAUCUGUCUCACCCCCUACGCCGCGCACCCUCUACUUAAUUUUCUCAAAUGGGAAUAGAUGGAUUCUGAUAUAUCAAAUGAAAAGACAUUCUAUUGCACAUUGAGCGGUGUGACUGAAAAAAGAAUUUGUUAAGCUAUUUUUUAUUACAAAAUUAACAAUUUGUGAUUGGUGUCAGAUUC